rnacentral:rRNA from 1 species
CAGCCGCCGCGGUAAAACGGAGGGAGCUAGCGUUGUUCGGAAUUACUGGGCGUAAAGCGCGCGUAGGCGGUUACUCAAGUCAGAGGUGAAAGCCCGGGGCUCAACCCCGGAACUGCCUUUGAAACUAGGUGACUAGAAUCUUGGAGAGGUCAGUGGAAUUCCGAGUGUAGAGGUGAAAUUCGUAGAUAUUCGGAAGAACACCAGUGGCGAAGGCGACUGACUGGACAAGUAUUGACGCUGAGGUGCGAAAGCGUGGGGAGCAAACAGGAUUAGAUACCCCCGUAGUCCCUGUCUCUUAUAC